CCUCGGAGGCAGCAGUGGGGAAUAUUGGGCAAUGGAGGAAACUCUGACCCAGCGACGCCGCGUGCGGGAUGAAGGCCUUCGGGUUGUAAACCGCUUUCAGCAGGGAAGAAGCGAAAGUGACGGUACCUGCAGAAGAAGCACCGGCUAACUAUGUGCCAGCAGCCGCGGUAAUACAUAGGGUGCAAGCGUUGUCCGGAAUUAUUGGGCGUAAAGAGCUCGUAGGUGGUUCGUCACGUCGGAUGUGAAAAUCUGGGGCUUAACCCCAGACCUGCAUUCGAUACGGGCGAGCUUGAGUAUGGUAGGGGAGUCUGGAAUUCCUGGUGUAGCGGUGGAAUGCGCAGAUAUCAGGAGGAACACCAAUGGCGAAGGCAGGACUCUGGGCCAUUACUGACACUGAGGAGCGAAAGCGUGGGGAGCGAACAGGAUUAGAUACCCUGGUAGUCCACGCCGUAAACGGUGGGCACUAGUUGUGGGGACCUUCCACGGUCUCUGCGACGCNGCUACGCAUAGUCGCCCGCCGUCGGGAGGUACGAGUCGCGAGUAAGUUAAACGUAACUUAAAUUAGUAAGUUAGUUACGGCGUUGAGACGUGCCGACGGACGACGACGAGGGAGGAGG
rnacentral:rRNA from 1 species